AAAAAAGUUGGUGGGGGCAGUAGGCCUUCACCAUGAUCUACAGAAUGCUAUCAUUUUGAGUCUGAGAUCAUUGUGAAAGCUAUUUGCCUUCUACCGUCUCC
rnacentral:pre_miRNA from 10 species